rnacentral:rRNA from 1 species
UACGAAGGGGGGCUAGCGUUGUUCGGAAUUACUGGGCGUAAAGGGCGCGUAGGCGGUACUUCAAGUCAGGCGUGAAAGCCCCGGGCCUCAACCUGGGAACCGCGCUUGAGACUGGAGAACUAGAGUUCGGGAGAGGAUGGUGGAAUUCCCAGUGUAGAGGUGAAAUUGUAGAUAUUUGGGAAGAACACCGAUGGCGAAGG